CUAUUCAAUUAUUUUGCAUCAAAUCAUUCAAUAACUACCAAACAACCCUUAAGAUUCAGUCCAGAUUUUGUUUCUUAGAUAUCGUUCUCUUGUAAGCCUGAUGUAUUUUAUAUAAAUGGUUCUUAUUUUCUUUUAGUUUUGUAACCUUGUAUGAAUUUAAAUUGUAUUCAUAUGUUUAACACAUACAAUUAUACAAAUAUAUAUAGUACAUAUAUGCAUACAUAUGCCACCUAAGGGGACAUGCCUACAACGUCGUAAUUUAAGGUUUGAUCUUGCCACCAUGCCGCCUCUAAUGACAUUUAGAACCUUGGCUACGAUGGAUUAUGAUAAAUGAUAAUACCUUUUCCUCGUUUUUGUUUGACGAACGGGAAUAGCAUGGAAAUGGGACGAGUAUCUAGAAGGAGGGUAAUGCUCUCUCGUCCCCACAAGUAAUCCCGAAUGGGUUUGGUGAACCCCUUGUGUACCUGUUUAAUAAAAAAAUAAUGGAACUAAUGUAUGUUAGAAUUAAAUUUGUAAUAUUGUUGGAAAAUGGUCGCUGCAACAGACGUCAUUUGGCUCAAGUCUUAUGUCUUAUGUCACGUUAAUUUUAAUGCACGCUUCCAAGGCUUGAUGCUUGGCCUCGUCACCACACCACACCACACCAUGUCUUACACUAUUUGAAAUCUUAAUUUGUAAUGAAUUGUCACUACAUUUAUUACAAAUAUUGAAAAUUAAAUAUAUUUGUCAGUUAAAAAAUAAUAAAUAUGUACACAUGAGAAUGAUUGUGUGAGAAGUGAAGUUAUAGUGAGCAACGUAAGAAGAGAUUUAAACCGUUGAUUAUAUUUAAUCACAUGUCCCAUCUAUAAAUUACGCCUUAGAAUGAAAUUGAUCCGGUGUAUCUCAUUGUACCUCAUUAAUAUUGACAUUCACUUAUGAUUAAUUCAAAUGUGAGAUAUAUUCUUACGUUUCUCACUGGAACCCUAUCCCAUAUAUAUACACAUAUUCAUUUAUACACAUAUAUUUAGGGUUCGUAUAUUGGGGGUCAUAAGAGAUUUGUUAGCAAAAACUAUUUAUCUUUUAUACUUUUGUAAAAAAAACUAUUUAUCUUAUAUAUAUAUUUGCACUAGUUUGAUCGAUUCAGAUUUAAGACUUCAAACGUAAAAACAAACAAUUUUACUAAUCCAGAUUUCAAACUUCGUAACCACCCUUUUAUAAAUUAAUAGUAAAAUUAAAUUUCAAGACCUCUUAAAAAAACAACCUCCACCGUAAUAAAAGAAAAAAUUUAAUCUGGAUCUGAUCAGGGACCUCGCUUCAAAGUAUGAAAAUAUACCCGUUCCCAUCCAGUUACCCAACAGGAAAUCCCGGUCCUGCUACGGUUGGAUCUGCCAGUAACCGUCCCCAUGUGUAAUAUGGGAUACGAAGCUUGAACACAAGGAGAAGAUAAAAGAGGCAGCGCUAAGGAAUUCCCACAUCGUUUACGGGCUCAGAUGCAUGAAUGUAUAUAUGGAGAAAAGAGAGACGAAUGAGCACGACCUUACUUGAACAGGAUCUGUUCUAUAGGCUCGUACCUCUGUAUUCUUGAUUCCUAAGAAGACAGUAACCCAUGUCUGGUUGAUGAGCCAGAACCAUGUAGCCAGAGCGUGAUUAACCGAGACCCAUGGUCUAGGCCAUGGCUCAGUAGAUGAUCGUUGCCAUCCCGUAUGAUCGUGUCUUGGCAUGGUUACAUGGUUGUCUGACAGAUAAUUGUUCUUAUUUUUAUUUUUGUGGAAAUUUGAUCAGAUGGUUUAUGAGAAAAUGAUGUGUAUAGCAUUUAGUCAUUCUCUAUUUUGAUCCUUGUCUUGUAGGUGGGUACAGAUGAAGGUUAUGUGGAAAAUGUGGCUUACUUUUUUAUGCAAAGCAAGUGUUCGCCUAAAUGUUUCUAUGGGAGGUUAUGAUUUGUCUUUGCCAUGAUCUUGAACUAAUCUACUGUAGGUGCAUUGAAGGUUGUAUGGAAAAUGACCUAAUUUUUUGGAUGCAAAGCAAGUGUUCGAUGAAAUGUUUCUAUGAGCAGAUUAUGAUUUGACCUGCAUUGAUUAUGGACUUAUUUAAGAAGCUUGUGGUGUCUAAACGUGUUUAUACAAGAAUUACUGUAUGUUGGACUCAUAUGAUUGAUGGGUUUGUCCUU